UACGGAGGGUGCGAGCGUUAUCCGGAAUUACUGGGCGUAAAGGGCGCGCAGGCGGAUCGAUAAGUGAGGCAUGAAAGCUUCGGGCUAAACCUGGAGAGGCUGUCUGAGACUGUCGAUCUGGAGUGCGAUAGGGGGGUGUAGAAUUCCGCGUGUAGUGGUGAAAUGCGUAGAGAUGCGGAGGAAUACCAGAGGCGAAGGCGGCGCCCUGGAUCGUAACUGACGCUGAGGCGCGAAAGCAUGGGGAGCGAACGGG
rnacentral:rRNA from 1 species